rnacentral:tRNA from 1 species
GCGGGUAUGGCGAAAUAGGUAGACGCAAGGGACUUAAAAUCCCUCGGGGGCGACUCCGUGCCGGUUCGAGUCCGGCUACCCGCA